rnacentral:rRNA from 1 species
UACGGAGGGAGCUAGCGUUGUUCGGAAUUACUGGGCGUAAAGCGCGCGUAGGCGGCUUUGUAAGUUAGAGGUGAAAGCCCCGGGGCUCAACCCCCGGAAUGCCUUUAAGACUGCAUCGCUGGAAUCCGGGAGAGGUGAGUGGAAUUCCGAGUGUAGAGGUGAAAUUCGUAGAUAUUCGGAAGAACACCAGUGGCGAAGGCGGCUCACUGGACCGGUAUUGACGCUGAUGUGCGAAAGCGUGGGGAGCAAGAGAUGAUAAC